rnacentral:rRNA from 1 species
AAUAUUUGACAAUGGGGGGAACCCUGAUCCAGCCAUGCCGCGUGUGUGAAGAAGGUCUUCGGAUUGUAAAGCACUUUAAGUUGGGAGGAAGAUUUGCAGCCUAAUACCUGGCAAUUUUGACGUUACCAACAGAAUAAGCACCGGCUCACUCCGCGCAAGCAGCCGCGGUAAUACGAAGGGUGCAAGCGUGAAUCGGAAUUACUGGGCGUAAAGCGCGCGUAGGUGGUUCGUUAAGUUGGAAGUGAAAGCCCCGGGCUUAACCUGGGAAUUGCUUUCAAAACUGACGAGCUAGAGUACGGUAGAGGGUAGUGGAAUUUCCUGUGUAGCGGUGAAAUACGUAGAUAUAGGAAGGAACAUCAGUGGCGAAGGCGACUACCUGGACUGUUACUGACACUGAGGUGCGAAAGCGUGGGGAGCAAACA